AAAAAAAAGACUUAUGUUGAGUUUGUAGUUCGCAGGUCGCCGUGCUUAAAUUAUAUAGCCACCGCGUCACCAAUCGGACGUCCAUUUUGCUAAUUAGCAACAAAAGGAACAAAGCAUUGCAACAGGGUUGCUGAGGCGAUAGUAUCCUUUUACGACAAAAUUAAGCAGCGAACAGAGAGAUUAUUUGCCCAGUCACAACAAAACAAACCACCACAUGGUGUCGUCACAAGUCAUCACACCCACCGGCUACAAGCAC